ACUCCUACGGGAGGCAGCAGUGGGGAAUAUUGGACAAUGGGCGCAAGCCUGAUCCAGCCAUGCCGCGUGAGUGAUGAAGGCCCCUAGGGUUGUAAAGCUCUUUCACCGGUGAAGAUAAUGACGGUAACCGGAGAAGAAGCCCCGGCUAACUUCGUGCCAGCAGCCGCGGUAAUACGAAGGGGCGUAGCGUUGUUUCGGAUUUUACUUGGGCGGUAAAGACGCACGUAGGCGGACUUUUAAGUUCAGGGUGGAAAUACCCGGGGCGUCAACCCGGAACCUGCCUUUGUAUACUGGAAGUCUUGAGUAUGGUAGAGGUGAGUGGAAUUCCGAGUGUAGAGGUG
rnacentral:rRNA from 1 species